CCUACGGGAGGCAGCAGUGGGGAAUAUUGGACAAUGGGGGCAACCCUGAUCCGGCCAUGCCGCGUGUGUGAAGAAGGCCCUCGGGUUGUAAAGCACUUUCAGUGAGGAAGAACGCCUGGUGGUUAAUACCCAUCAGGAAAGACAUCACUCACAGAAGAAGCACCGGCUAACUCCGUGCCAGCAGCCGCGGUAAUACGGAGGGUGCGAGCGUUAAUCGGAAUUACUGGGCGUAAAGCGCGCGUAGGUGGCUUGAUAAGCCGGUUGUGAAAGCCCCGGGCUCAACCUGGGAACGGCAUCCGGAACUGUCAAGCUAGAGUGCAGGAGAGGAAGGUAGAAUUCCCGGUGUAGCGGUGAAAUGCGUAGAGAUCGGGAGGAAUACCAGUGGCGAAGGCGGCCUUCUGGACUGACACUGACACUGAGGUGCGAAAGCGUGGGUAGCAAACAGGAUUAGAUACCCGAGUAGUC
rnacentral:rRNA from 1 species